rnacentral:rRNA from 1 species
AACGAACGCUGGCGGCAGGCUUAACACAUGCAAGUCGAACGAUCCUUCGGGAUAGUGGCAGACGGGUGAGUAACGCGUGGGAACCUUCCCUAUGGUACGGAAUAGCUCCGGGAAACUGGAAUUAAUACCGUAUAAGCCCUUCGGGGGAAAGAUUUAUCGCCAUAGGAUGGGCCCGCGUCGGAUUAGCUAGUUGGUGAGGUAAUGGCUCACCAAGGCUACGAUCCGUAGCUGGUCUUAGAGGAUGAUCAGCCACACUGGGACUGAGACACGGCCCAG